UGGAGAGUUUGAUCCUGGCUCAGGACGAACGCUGGCGGCGUGCCUAAUACAUGCAAGUCGAGCGGAUCUUGUCCUUCGGGACAAGAUUAGCGGCGGACGGGUGAGUAACACGUGGGUAACCUGCCUGUAAGACUGGGAUAACAUUCGGAAACGRAUGCUAAUACCGGAUACGCGGUUUGGUCGCAUGACCGGAYCGGGAAAGAUGGAGCAAUCUAUCACUUACAGAUGGACCCGCGGCGCAUUAGCUAGUUGGUGAGGUAACGGCUCACCAAGGCGACGAUGCGUAGCCGACCUGAGAGGGUGAUCGGCCACACUGGGACUGAGACACGGCCCAGACUCCUACGGGAGGCAGCAGUAGGGAAUCUUCCGCAAUG
rnacentral:rRNA from 1 species